rnacentral:rRNA from 1 species
CGAAAAAUAACGAUACGGGACUCAUCCGAGGCCCCGUAAUCGGAAUGAGUACACUCUAAACCCUUUAACGAGGAUCAAUUGGAGGGCAAGUCUGGUGCCAGCAGCCGCGGUAACACCAGCUCCAAUAGCGUAUAUUAAAGUUGUUGCGGUUAAAAAGCUCGUAGUCGAAUUUGUGUCCCGCGCCGCCGGUUCAUCGCUCGCGGUGUUAACUGGCGUGUCCGCGGGACGUCCUGCCGGUGGGCUUAGCUCUCGGGCGGCCCAAUCUCAAUCCCACCGCGGUGCUCUUUACUGAGUGUCGAGGUGGGCCGGCACGUUUACUUUGAACAAAUUAGAGUGCUUAAAGCAGGCUAAAAUAUCGCCUGAAUACUGUGUGCAUGGAAUAAUGGAAUAGGACCUCGGUUCUAUUUUGUUGGUUUUCGGAACCCCGAGGUAAUGAUUAAUAGGAACGGAUGGGGGCAUUCGUAUUGCGACGUUAGAGGUGAAAUUCUUGGAUCGUCGCAAGACGGACAGAAGCGAAAGCAUUUGCCAAAAACGUUUUCAUUGAUCAAGAACGAAAGUUAGAGGUUCGAAGGCGAUCAGAUACCGCCCUAGUUCUAACCAUAAACGAUGCCAGCUAGCGAUCCGCCGACGUUCCUCCGAUGACUCGGCGGGCAGCUUCCGGGAAACCAAAGCUUUUGGGAUCCGGGGGAAGUAUGGUUGCAAAGCUGAAACUUAAAGGAAUUGACGGAAGGGCACCACCAGGAGUGGAGCCUGCGGCUUAAUUUGACUCAACACGGGAAACCUCACCAGGCCCGGACACCGGAAGGAUUGACAGAUUGAGAG